UAUAGACCAGAGUUUGUUGUAUCUGAGAUAGGGGUAGAGUACAUGCUAACCAUGUGCAAGGCCCUGGGUCCAUCCCCCACACUGCGAGGUGAUGAUGACAAUGAUGAUGGCGACAAUGACAAGAAGCAUUUUUCAACAAAUCAAGCACAACUUCUGCAGGCCACUGGGAUAUGGAAACUGAGGCUCAGUGAAGGAAGGAGAGAAAUCCACCCAACAGAGGCUUACCCAGUUACUGGCACUGUGCAGCUUUGGGGAUCAUGACAGACAUUGUCUGGGGAAAUCAUCCGAUGAGAAUCAGAAGAUUGCACACAAGAACUGUGGUUCUUAGUGCUGCAAAGAAAAGAGCCUGGAAACUUUUUUUUUUUAUUAUUGAUUUUAUUUCUCCAAGAGAUUUCUUACAAAGUGAAUUGACCUUGUACAGUUAAUUUGAUGUUAUCUUAAGAAAAUAAAUGAAGUAUGCUUUAGAAAAGAAUUAUACUUGU